ensembl:lncRNA
CAGGCACUAUCGCCUGCCUGACACUGUGCUGUGCAGCCCAGUGGGGAGACCAGCAAGGAGAUGGAUUGAGGGAGUUAGCAGGCACAGUAGUGCUGUGCAUUUGUUAAAGAAUGUGGGCGUGGUUGGCUAGGUCUUGGGGCCUGGCCAGCUAGGACCCAUGGGCGUGGUCAACUAGGAUGGGGGUGUGGUCAGUUAGGUGUGUGAUCCUGGUCAGCCAGGCUCUAAGGAAUAGUCCUUUAGAUCUGCUAAGUCCAUUGACUCUGGAGUCCCCUGGAAGAGUGGCUAACCCAGCUGUGACUCCCCAGCCAGGGGAGAACUGCCUAGAACCAGGACCAGAGAGGCCCAGGUGAUUGAGCUGUGACAAGUGGCAGAGACAGGAGAGGCCCAGCUGUCUGGACAGUUGCCCACAUUCCAAUCUCAGGAUGCUUUGACUGCAAAGCUAGGAACCAGUAAAUCCAACAGCACCUGGCCUGGUGGCCAUGCUGGUGCUGUUCCUGCACUUGGCCCUGCAAUGGCUCAAAGGAACGGGACCCAAAAGAGACACGGCUUGCUUAACACCCCAUCUUAGCAACAUCAUGCAGCUCUUUCUGCAGUCACUGGCCUUUCCUCCUUAGCUGCCAGAACCCCACAUUGCAGAGGAAGCCUGUGCACAGUGAAGGGGAUGUGGAACCUGGGAGCCAGUCCCCAGCACUGUCACUGGGCCAUAGCUGCUGAGAGGAAAGGGCAGCCUGGCCAGAGUAAGCACAGUGGCCAUUGGGAGCCAUGGGCCUGGCCUGCGGCUCUGCAACUCUUCAAAUUAAGGAACCAACAAAGCAUCAGGUGAGAAAGCAGAUGCCAUGCCUGUGCAGAGCUCUACAAGGCAAGCGGUUGUUGUCAUUCUCAUGCCAUGGUGCCGUGCAGAUGUUGCAUGUGCAUGGUACAUGCAUGGAAGCCGUGAUUGGCAGGGGCCCAGAAAACCUGCAUCAUCUAUUCUUGUCCUUGGUCUGAGGCGCCUCUCACCUGUCUUACCAAUCUCACAUUUCUGGGGCUUCACUAUGGAAGCCUCUUCUGCUAUGCAGAAAUCCGGGUGUCUGUGGGGGCUGGUUCUCCUCAGAUGGGUGCCCUCCUUGUGCGUGACAACAGAUGAGCUAUAUUUCAAAACAAAGUGCUGUGUUAUAAUCAUCUGCCUGAAUUCCCAGGGUAUCUUUUACCUGACUUGAUAACAAUGUUCUUCAUUAGCAGCGUUUGUUAACUGAUAACCUGAAGCAGUAACUUGGUAUUCAUAAGCAAUUUUCUGUAUGUAAGAUAGAAUAAACCAUCUUGUAAGGGAUCUGUUAAUUGAUUUGCUUCUUUUAGCAGCAUUUUAAUUAAGGCAUCUGGUUUUGGAGGGCAGAAAUAGUUGUGAGCAGAAGGGAAAGGCUCUGGAUUCUCAGUCCAUGAAAAUGUCCUGUGCACUGAGCAGAGAAACACAGUCAUGUGUCACUCGGUGACAAGGACAUGUCCAGGAAGUGUGCAUUUGGGGUUCAUCACUAUGUGGAUGCGGCAGAUGCCCGCACAGGGACUGCGAUGGUUGUGGCAUUACUAUGAUACCAUGCAUAUGGUCCAUCACUGAUGGAAAUAGCGCUAUUCUGGGCAUGUCUGCAGGCUGAAGACCAGUGACCUCCCUCAGAUGGUAGGGACUAACGUCAUUUAGGAGGCAGUGUGGG